UCAUGGUUACUGGGCAUGGUGGUGAUGGGCUGGUUUGACUAGGUGAUCUUAGAGGACUUUUCCAACCUUAAUGAUUCUAUGAUUCAUGUGUGGUUCUCUGCUGUGGGUGAUAAGUCAGCAAAACAUCCUUUUUGUUCUACCCAAGCCAGCUAGCAUCACAGUCUCAGCAGAGUAAAUGGGGAAGUUAUUCCUGUUGGAGACAGUAGCAAAAGGAUGGAUGGUUCAGUCUAGCCUUGAGUGUUCUGAGUGUUUUUCUCCUGAGCCAAUCUGUGGGCUUUUGGGGAAAGGUUGGUUACAUUCUGAAUGUGGAUCUCCCCAUGGAAAUGGGCAGUACUAGAUACCAGUUGUCAAUCUCCUUAAAAAAGAAGAAGAUAUCUUCUGACUUUUCCCCCAGAAAUCUUCCCUAAAGAAACCCUAUUUGUAGCAAGGCAUUCUUCUAGGUGAACUGAAAGGCAUGCAGCUCUCUCUGUGAGGUUUAUUAACACUGCUAACCAUGUGGUAAUAGGGCAUACCCAGCAGCAAAACACAGCACUUUCCUCCCAGCAGGACCAGAAUACAGCUUUCAGGCUUGCCGUAGCCCCAGCAGUCCUGAGAAUGAGGAACUGAGAUGAGACAGUUUAUUUGCAAAACAGAGCACUGUAUUGCCAGCAAUGAACUGAAGAACAAACGGAAGACUUUACACAAAUGUGACACUUGCUCUUUUCAAAUUACAGCAUUUGUAUUUUUUUACUACAGAUGAAAAACAAACAAGCUGCUCUGUCUUGUCUCUCUCAGCUUGCUUAGAGACUCAGCUCAGCUUGGCUGCAUGUAGAUCAAUUUGUUUCAAGAGAUCAACAUUUCCUUUUUAACCUUUCAGACUGUAAAUCCCCAUAGGAUCCUGAUGUUUUCAUCAAUUAUAUAUUUUCAUUUUGUAUUGGUAAUCGAUAACACUUCAGAACACUAAUGCCAUACAACAUCAUUGUCUUGGGCUAGUAAGUGAAUAAUAACUAAAUAAUGCAUUUCAAACAAGAGAGCAAAUGAAUAUUCUCCCUCCAGCACACAAAAAACAUGCAGAAAGAAAUCACCAAACAACAGAACAUUGAUUUUUGUGGCUCCAAACUUUCCAGCUGCAGAUAGAAAAGAACAGAACAGAACUGCAAUAUACUAUCUCACUCCUGAAGUUGCACUAAGACAUAAAACUUCAGAAUGCAUCUCCUUCCCCCAUAGUGCUGAAAAGCCACAGUUAUAUGAAUAUUUGGAGAACAGAAGAAAUGCUUGCAAUCUCAGCAUUUUUGGCAAGGCACUUGCAAAUGCUAUGCUCUCAGAAGACAAAGCUUUCAAACAACAGAUAUUUGAAAAACAAAGCUACAUCUGUACUGGUAGAGCUGAGAGAAUCGGGGAAUAGCUUUGGACUCUGGUUUACAAUCAUGCAUGCUGUUACAUUGUUAGCACAGGUUUUGUCAGAAUUUUGGCUGGCACUAAGUAAUACUCUCCCAAGCAGAGCUGGAGUGUAUGUAGAUUGGGAGUUAACACUCUCGGCAAACAGCUUGAACAUGAAAUCCCUAUUUUGGGAAAGAGAAUUUGGCUGUGCAGGUUGGAAACAUGCUGUGUCAGCUGGCCUUGAGGCCAAAGAGCAGUCUCUCUCUCAUUUUAUUUGCUAAUGUAGAUGUAGUCAAUGGGUGUUAGAUGUACUUGAUGAUCUUGCUACCAGCAGCAGAAAGAGCAUCUUGUCUCUAAAGCAUUCAACUGGGACUGGAGAGAGUCAGUUCCUAGACUUUGCCCAGAUUUUCCGUGUAACUUGAGGUCACUUAUUUCUUGUACUUCUUUUUUUGGCUAAUGAAGUGUGGAUAAAAGAACUUUUGUACUUCAAGCACUGUGAAGAUGACAUGCAGAAAGAUGUGAUAAAUGACUGUAACAUAUUUAAUACAGCAAAUAUCUCUUCCUAGAAGUGUGUAGAAAGUUGUAAAGUUCAUCCAAGAGGAUUCUUUCUUGCUUGCUUUCUCCCUUACUUUCUCAUUUGCUUUCUCUCUUUCUUGCCUACUUUCUUUUUUUCCUGUUUCUCACUUGUUUUCUCAUUCUCUAGCUUUCUUUCUCCUUGUCCCUUUUUCUUGUGUGUUUUCCCUCUCUGUCUUUCUUGCUUUCUUGUUUUCUUUCCUCCUUCCAUCUCUCUGCCCUCUGUUUAUUUCCCCAGACUGAGCUGUUUAGCUCAAGCACCAAGGCCUCUGGAGGCCCUGGAAUGUGUCUAGGUUAUUUCUGUCUUCUGCAAAUUCAGCGCACCGGCGUAUCAGAACGAGAUGAACCUCUGCCUUGAGUUUGUCAAAAUGUGUUUUGAGCCUAAAAUGUUUAAAAGAAGCCAGACAUAUGGCAUGUUCUAAGUAAAUAUUGCUUCACUGGAAGAUUUGGAAUCAGCUCUCAGUGGCUAUGUGAUACAGUCCUGCACCAUAAUAAUGAUAAUGAAAAUUACAGAAAAACGUAGUGAAAAACUUAAUUGAAUAUACAGAAAAGAGGAUAGUUGUAUUUUCCAUCCUGAUUCAGGAUGGUGCUUAAACUUUUCCUUCCCGUUAAGAGCACUUAAGUACCUUUCCCAAAUAAAGAAUGAUAAUCAUCUGAUUUUGGUUAUGGUACCAAAUGAUACUAAACAGAUAUUAUGUCCAGAACAAGAUACAAAACAAAACAAGUAUUUGCUUGGAUAUGUUUAUCUCACUGCAUUGAUAUUCUACCUACUGGUCAGCAGUGCUGCUGGAGCUCCUCCUCCCAUGGAUUUAAGGUACUGCUUUUCAUUGUUUCUGUAGUCACUUCUCUGCUGCUCAUUUUCUCAAGUGGUAAACUCUUCCCAGGUAAGAUAAACAAGAAAGUUUCUCUUCAGCAGAACACUAUUGCUUGAACACACCGGUGCUUGUGUGUUGAUGUAUGCUCUGAUAAAGCUCUUCUGACAAACUGUGAAUUUUCAGAUGCCACCUUCAUUUAAGCAGGAAUUUACCCUAUUUCUCUAUAGGGAUGGUGCUGCAUUUGAAGAAAAGGACUCUGUCUUAUUCUAGAUUAACUCCUGCAUCAUGAUUGACUGCAUUUGUUAGCAUGAUGAGUAGAUGAGAAUAUAUAUGUUUAGUAUGAAGGGAGUGUUAUAAAACACUGUUUUCACAUACUGCAAUGCCUUGUCAUAUUCUCUUGGUACUGGUCAAAUUAUGGUCUCCUAUAGCUGUGGAAUGAGCAAAGAGCCCUUACUUGGCAUGUAUUAAAAUAUACCUCUGAGAUUCUUUGAUUUGAUGCCUUGUCAUAGAAUAGGUCCAUGGAUGUGGUUUUUCUCCUGACUUGGUAGCAAUUCAUUAUUAUUACUUUUUUGUUCACAUUGUUUUACAUUUUACAAAGUGACCUAUUCUGAAAAUUUAAGGGAUAAAUUUUCUGUCCAUAUCAAGGUAUAUUAAAAAUGAACAAUGUAAAUGGCUUGCCAUCUAACCCAUAUCCCCAAAUCUGUCAUUUUUGUUUUCAUCCAGAAGGGUAAAUACACUUUAAAAAACUAGUCAGCAUCAAUUUUCUGAAGAUUUAGGAAUGAGGAAUGCUUUCUCUAAUUCCAUGUGUUAACAUUUUUAAGAUCUAGACAAGUCCUUCUUUGUUAUGAUCAAACAGUUAAAACAUGGAGUAACAUGUUAAUUUGGCUAGAAAUCCUUUCUGUAUAUCCCUAACCUCUAUCGGUGUCAAGGGCAUCAUUCUGUAAUGAGUCUUUAUCAAGACUGCCAUUUAGACAGUCCUGAGAUCUUUCUGCCCCAAAAGAUUUAUCUGUUCUUUCUGUCAUCUCAGACCUAGAACAGGUGGGAAUUUAGGAAGUUUUCACUUUUCAGCCAAACUUUCUGUACAAAGCCCAUUAAGAUUUCUGUGCAAAUGGGAGUGGGGGAUAGGAGGACCUGUAGAAGAGAAUAUGCUUCUUUUAAUCUUGACUACAGUACAAUAAGAUUUUUUCCAUUGAUCUUUGAUCUGAAGUACAAAACAUCCCUUAAGCCAUGGGAAUUCAAAGUAUCUAUUGAAUUAUCUAUCUAGCAACAGUACAGUCAUUUUUUUUUUAGAAAUAUAUGUUCGCUUACUGUGUCAUUUUAAUUAUAUUAUUCUAGUAUCUGACAUACAUCUUUGGUUCUCAGAAGUUUGGAGGAACUUCUGUCUUCACAGGUGUAUGCACAGUGGAGUGACUUUUUUUUAGUCAAGAGUUAAAUUUUAUCCUCUACACUUACAUGCUCUCAAUCCUACUGAUGUUACUGAGAGUCUUUAUCUUCAGUGGGGGUUUGAUAAAGCCCUAAUGAAAGUUGGCAUCGGCUACAAAAAUCAACAAAGGACCAUUUCUACAGGGAAAUUCAAUCAAAAUAACCCCCUUCAAGAAUUAGAAAAGACACCAUAAAAAGACUUUCAAGAAACUAGCUAAAAUUAUGUAAUUAAAUAUCUAACAUAUCUAACAGACAGUAGAAGUUUGUACAAUUCCAGAUUAACUCUUUAAUUUAUUCUCUGUACAAUGGAAUUUAACAAAUGUGAAGCACCCAUGUAAUUCCAAGUGAAAAGCAUCUUUCUUUCUUGUGGAUUAUGACACAAGUGUUGCCAGUAAUGAACACCUAAUGUGCUUCAAGGCCAGAAUAAGUAGAACUGUUUGAAAUUUCUUUCUCAUUUAAUUCCUAAGCUUCUAUAAAACUGAAAAAAUGAUGUAAUUGCCCAGGGUUCCCGAUUGUAGAAACUUGUACCCAGCUUACUUUCUGAAGUAAACCAAUUACUCCUAAUUGUGGUGGUACUCAGAUAUGAGUGCCAUUUGUGCCCUACCUGGAGCUCUUGGAGGGCUCUGAGGAGAUGAAAGCAAAGUUCUACCUGCUAAAAAUGCAGUCAAAUUCCUGCUUUAGAAGCAAUGGGGGUGUGAAAAGCAUGGAUGAUAACAAGUAGUCUGCAGUUCACCUGGAGCCGAGGAGUCUUUACCAGCACUAGACUUCUGCUUCAACCAGCACAACUAACUGAAUGCAUUAACUUUCAUUCAUUUAUUUAUUUAUUGUAAAAAUAAGGCAGUUAAGAUUUUUUGGAACUAGCAUUAGCAUACAUUUCCCUAGCAAUAUAAUAGAUGGUGAGUAUAAAUGAUAAGUAGGAAGCUUGACUUUUUCUUUUUGAUGGUUUUCAAAUUAUUUUUUGUGUGUGUGUAAAUGGGAGACGAUUUUCCUUAUAAUAUUUAUGAGCUGAAAAUAACAGUUAAGUCAUUGUUUAAAAGGUGAAGAAAUACAACAACAAUAACAGCACAAACAAUAUAUAGCAGUGUGAAUAUUGUAAUGCAGAGGCCUAUUUUGAGAAGGAAGUUUUCUUCCAUUGGUUCUUGAUUUAUUAAUUACAUCCAUUUGGGAAAUGAGCCCUCAGUAGGCUGAAAUAUAACCCUCUAGUUACUUAUUCUUAGGGGAGAAAAAGGAAAAAAAAAAACAAUACAAAACAUUCCCACAUGUAGCAGUGCAGUAUGUUACCAAACUGUCUGAAAAAAAAACUUUUCUCCUUCCUUUUACAUUAGCUAUAUUACUGAUUACUGAUGAUAGCUGAUUUGAUAUUCAAUGGGUUUUCUGCAUUUAGGGCACAAAAUUAAUUUGUCCAUGUUUUUGUCCCUGCCUGUUGCUGGUUUUGAAUAGAGGAGGUUUAACUGAAGAAACAAAGUAUAUUCUUGGAAUGGACAGCAAAAAAUUGUAGAAUGUUGGAAUGUCUUAGCAGUAAUUGUUUGACAUCAGUUAUGUCAGCGAUAAUGUGAAAUAUUUUGUAUUCUGUUAUUACUUCUGUAAGAAAAAAGAUCUGUUCUUCAAAGAAGUGAGAGCACCAUCUGUGGCAGUAAUAUGAGAAUGGAACUUGUGAGAAGACAUCAUGUUUCCAUCUGUUUUCAGAUAGCAUUAAACAAUGGCCAAAUCCACUAAACUGUUUCUGCUGUGUGAAUUUGUAAAGUGUGGUUUACAAUUUUUCAUGGCUUCUGUGUCUGAACUUAUGCAUGCAAGUCUGGAAUGAAUGUCUGUCGAAUACAACUGCCUUUGAGUACAGACAUGUCUGUUCUGGAGGGCACGCACAACAUCAGAGGUCUGCUGCCAUCAUUGGCUGUCAUGUUGGCCAUGUAUGAGACCCUGUAUAUUGUGAAGCAGAGAGAAGCUACAUUUUUUAUCUUGCUCUUCCUUUUCUAAAUACUGGCUCCAGGGUGUAUUUAACAACAGAUACUUUAAAGAGUAAAAUGUGGUGAUACCUAGUUAUCAUCUUGUAAUACCUUUAUUUUUUUGCAUGUCUUUUUGCAUCAGUGUCGUCUAGAAACAAGUCUUUUUUUUCCAGUGAGUUAGUGUAUCUUCCACCUGUCUGACUAACUGGGUAGGCUUUGAAGUACACUGAGUGUUGGCCAUUUUUGUGCCCAGACAACUGGAAGCUCACACACAUCAAGCUUCGCAGCUGACUGCAUCAGCGGGCAGACAGGAUGGCAGAGCUGUAUCACACGGAUGCGCAUUCUUGCGAGCAAAACCAGAAGAAACCGAGUCAGACUGAUUUUAGGAAACACUGGUUUUGACAUCAUCAAUUUAAUGCCUUAUGGUUCAUGGAUACACAUUGCUUCUGAAGCCCCGUGGGCAAGUUUCCGAUCCUUUCUGCUCUGCAUAAUGAGUAGCUCUGGCUCUCUGAGCUCAGUUCUCCUUCUGUUUUACAGCCCCCUGAAAUCCAUCCAGUUUCACAGACCGCCUUCGUACCUGUGUUCAUAUCAGAAGAGAUGCCAAAGCAGCUGUGGGAUGAAUUAUCUAUUUAUUUAUUCAUUACAAAUGUUUCUUUGACCUGGCAAACUGUGGUGUGCUGGGAGAGCCUUUUUGUCACUCAUGUUACCUCUUAUCCUACACAGGAGUCGCAGAGGAUUUAAAGGUCAUUUGAAAAGCAGCCUUUUGCUCUUUGACGACCCUUUCAAUAUUAGCCUGCAGUUUUGUUUUACAAAGUCAUCAUUAUUAGCUGUGUUCAUGACUACUGCUGUUUUCCUGGGACUGCAGAGAAACUUGAGAUACUAAUUGCAGUAAGCUAAUUUGGCAAUACUGUGUGAACUUCCUUAAGGCAUUAGUUAAGAAUAUACUUUCCUUUACACAAAGAGUAUUUGAAAGAGGGAACAGACUGCAAAGGCAGCAGAAGGUAUGCUUUUGUACUCCUUAUACUUAAGAGUAGAUGGUAUAAUUAGCUUACAAUGGCAGUUGAAUAUAUUUCUCAGAAGGAGAAAAGAACAUACAGAAUUAAACAGUAGCUUUAGCUUAAUGAUAAUCAGUGAUAAUGAUGAUAAUAAUAAUAGUACUUAGAACUUUAAUGUAGAGAUUUGCAUCUUGAAAGUACUAUGCAAAACAUUGACUUAAUUACUGUCACCUCUUCAGGGAAGGUAGGUAUUAUUGCCCUAACUUAAUAGAUAGGGAAAUUGAGAUAUAAGGAAAUGAAAUGACUUGCCAAAGGCUGUGCAAGAGCCUGUAGAGGGAUUCAAACUUUCCAUGUCCCUUUGCCAUUUGCAUCGUUAUACGAGGAUAAUUAUGCACACUUUAGGUCUGCUUUGUGCUUUUGCAACUUGAGCCCAAGUCCUUUGAAAUUAGAACUGUGUGUAUAGUGUUUUGAAGGUUUUCUUUUUUAAUCAGAAGGUGAUUGGAAAAAAUACUUUAAUAUGAUUUUUUUUUCUCUCUCUGGGUCAACAUGAAACAUAGAGGCAAAAAAUUUCAGUUUUGCUUUUAAAGUGGUUUUUUUUUUAAUACAGACGAACUUCUAAAAGAAAGGGCAAAAAUUUGUAUAGAGUAAGUCAGGAAAGAAAAGAGAUUUUUCCAAAAUUAAUUUUAUUAUUAAUCUUUUGGGGGGAGAGAUCUAUGGAAUUAUUUACCACAUUUCAAGUUUAUUAAUACCUUCUCAGAUCCACAAACUGCAUUUUUUUAAAAAAUUUGUAUCUAGUAGAUACAAUCUGCCUGGUUCUACUCAAAAUCAAUGUGAAUCUUUCUGCCUCAAUUAUUUCUUCUCAUGGAAGGACUGGGGGUCAGCCCUGUGGUUUGAUUACUUGCAGAGCGUAUGUUGAGUCAAAUGAUGCAGUGUUAGCAUAAACAGUUUUCUGACCACAACCACAAUUGAAGGUGAUGAUGAGAUAGUGUAAGAUGAGUUGUGUUCCAUGAAGAGAAAGAAAAAACAUGAGCUUUUAGUUAUAAUUAUUUCCUUGUAUGAAAGACAUUAAAACUAGGAUACAGGAAUCUGUUUUGCUUUGACUGCGUGUGUUCUGUUUUUAGCAUAGAUCUUAUGGGCACUACAGUUCUGGUUAAUUAAGUCUGAGCCAUAGUUCACUUCUCAGAUAAGAAAUGUAGUUCUGUAUCUGUAGAACAUAAAGCAGUAAUAGAUGUCAGCGUCUGAAUCUGCAGGAUUUAGAAGGAGCUUUUGAUAAUUGUUUUCUCUGCAUCCUACAUUCUGUCACCUUCACUUACCAGCGGAUCAGUGCACACAAGCUUACAGGCAUUUAAAAGCUGUAUGCACUGAGCUCCUCUCUGUGAACAGGGUGAUGUGCGCCUCUAUAUUGGGAGCCUUUCUGCACACAGCUGGUGUCUCAUUUAUGUGUUUUGAGUACCUACAGAGUGUGCGGGCAUUUGCUGGUACUCCGAAUGGACAUGACAUUCAGAGGUAACAACUUCGUGUCAUGUUAUUGAUUUUUGCAUUGUACUGGCACUCAUUUCUGGAUAUAUGAAUCCCUUGCUGAGCCUCUGAUGAUAGUCUGACCUAAAGCUUCUGAAGACUUUAGUAAAUGAACUUCAGGAGUGCUUAUCCCGUUUCCAGAACAACAUAGUCCAUUCAGCUAAUCAAAACAUCAAGCAUUUUUAUCCAACAGGUUCUCACCAGGUUUGUCAUUAGAGAAUUUUGAUUCAUUUUCGCAUUUGUUUUUUAACAUAUAUUGCCACGUCUGAACAUAGCAGCAGAAAGGAAUAACAUUGAGAAAACUGGAGAAACUUCCUAAAAGUCUUCCUUAGCACUUCCUUUCUGCAGGAGUUUUACAUUAAAGCCCAAAUAUUUUGUAACAGUCUCAGCUUUCCAGUCAAAGUAAGCAUGGAGAAACUAUUUCUAUAAAGGGUAAACAGGCAAAGAAUGGCUGGUUAUCCAGCUCACAUUUAGAAAAUCUGCUUUUUUCAACAAAUUGUUUAAAUGGGUAAUAUGGGCUAAAAUUAUUCCCAGGUUUAUUUAGCAAAUCAUUUCAGAUAAGUUAUACAUUCAAGAGAAUCACAAUAUAACAGUAAGCUAAUAGAAAUGUGCAUUCUUUCAUAUAAUUGGUAAGAUUUCUUUACUGCUCUAAUUAUUAAAACUAAGUGGAUUUUUGGGAGGGAAAGUAUGAAUGAAAUGCUAAAUUUGGUUUAUUUUGACAAUCCAUAUUAGAAUACCAGAGAUGAGCUGUUGUCUCUGCAUUGUUUAACUGACUCCAGGCUUUGAGCAGUACUAUGUAAGAGGUGAGACAUAUUGGAAUGGAGUAAGAAAUAAGCACCUGAAAAUGAGAUCGUGCUGUAAUAUAUGUUGAUCACACAAGGUGGCAGAAUGAGCUUAGGGCUAUCUGAGAAGUAAGAAGCAGUGAAGCAUCAUCACUUUCAGUCAACACUGUAUCUUUUCUUGCCCUACGAAUAUGCCAAGAUGCUUCUGCACAUGUACAGGGAUGGAGGGAAUUGUUUUAAUAUGACAUUUUUGAUAAUUAUCCAAGUUCUUCAGUUUCCUUUGGAGAUGUAGUGGAGACUGCUCAAAGACUGUGGCUAACUUUGGAAAUUAAUAAUCAUACAAUGCUGAACCUGCUCACAUUUUCACUUGUAUUGAAAAUAGUUUGCUUCUAUUGAUACAUUGAUUCUCUAAGUGGGGUUGAACACUUCAGAUGAAGGACAGCUACAAGAACAGGCAUGCAGGGAACAUUUCAUUUUUCAUUAUCGAUUUAUGGCUAAAUUUACUUCUAUUGCAAGUGAAUGAAACUCUAUUGACUUUUCUGGUGUUGUGUUUACUUAUAGAAGCACUGAGAAUGGCAGGUAGAUAUAUGUGGCUGAACUGAGGGCAACCCAAAGAAGAGAAAUUAAAGCCCAAGGCAGGGAGAAAGGGCUAUUCUGCAGCAAUUUCUGUGCUACUGCUUUGGCCAGUGGGUUGAAGAAGGGUAGUGACGCUUCUUUCUGCACCUGUACCUCUAUCAGAUACUCUCCUUGAGUCACCCCUGAGCCUGCCCUUUUAGUAGUUGCAGGGACAAUACCGAGCUAUGUCUCCAGGAGCCUUUGGUACCAUGCCUUCUCAUUUUGCCCCUUUGGAUCUAUGUGGCAGCCAAGUGGUAUACCAAAAAGAUGGAGAAUUUCUGCUAUGGCCAGGGACUAGUUCCAGUCUUGUGUGCUUCAUGUGAAUUGCACCAACAAUGCAUAAAAGCAAUGUGUAUGUUGAGCUCUGUUAACUUUGGUUGCUUGAAGAGAGAAACAUGCUACUGUAGGAUGUAUUUUAGAAGUAGCUGAAAAUAUACCCUGCAUGUGAAUUUAGUCCUAUCUAUAACUAAAUUAAGUGACUGACCAGGAUAUUCUUAUGAGCAAAGACUUAAGGAUUGGGAUCUGUUCAUCGCUCUUUAUGCGAUAUAUAUCUAGAAGCUCAUUAGAAGCUAUUAGAGCUUAUUCAACCUUGCAACCUUUUCAGCAGAUGUUCAGCUGUUUGUUUUUCCUCGUUGCCUGAAGAUAUUUGGCUAAGCAUUAAAACAAGACUGGAGUAGGUCAGAAAAGUAUUUGUUUUCCAGAAAAAAAUAAACUAGGAAGUAAAACAGAUGACAAUUAAUAUUAAAAAUGUCAUCUGUAAUAUAUUAAUGAGAACUGAAGAAAAAGAAUUGAAAGAAACUUUGAAAUGUAGAGCUAUAACAAACACUGGAUUUCCAAUCUAUAUCUUUGCACAGACAAGAGGUUACAAAAUGAUAAGAAAGGAAAAAAAAGAACUGAGAGAAAAAGGCAAACAAAAGUAAAAAAGGUGAGUUCUGGAAAAUUUCUUUUUUAUCAGCUGCAUUUGCCUUUGGUCCUUCAGUCACUCAUGGAAGUCACAGUCUAUGAAACUCAACACGGCUUUCUGAGUGGGCUGUGGUCAUGUCUAAAAGGCUUUUUUAUCCCAUAGCUGAACCCUGGGCUUCAGCCCUAAGAGUCCCCUGUGACCCCGUGUUAUUGUCUCCAGAUUAACCCACAGUCAAUGCCCUGUCUUUCAGCUGGUAGCUGCUGCCUCUCAGCUCAGCCUCAGUAAUUGUGUGAUGUCUCCUCUGCUGUCCCAGGGAGGUUAUUUUUAAUUGCCAGUGGUUUUAACUUACCUGCUCGAAUGUACAGUGCACAGCCUUGAGUCACUCACGCAUACUUCUCAGCCUAGAUCAGGUAACUGAGUGGAGAUAGCUUCUCAAAAUGCCUCUCUGCUGUGACUGCCUGUGAGUCCUCCCUCUUCUUUUCAGUACAAAGUCAGGCACUAACAGCCUAAACCACUGCAGGAGAUGCUUUGAGUUAAACUGCUAGCCUUGCACUGAAAUGGACAAAAAAUGCUCACUUAUACCUGCUCUUCACCACCUCUCAAUCGUUAAUUACUGCCUCUCCGUCUGAUUUUUCUCACAGCAGGCUGCUGCUGCUUGUGCUGCAUACAUUGCAAAGUGUGGGCUCCCUAGGAGAUGCAAGCCGGGGCUGCAAGGCAGUGCAGGUGGGGUGGGAGGGUAACAGCAGGGAUGGCUGGUGAGUUGGGGCACAAACUGUGCUCAGACUGGGCUUAGCAGACAUUUUGGGUACCAUCUGUCACAAUAUACCAAAGCUGCUGAGUGCAGGUGUGACUCCCACUUGUGCAAAACAUACGAGGGUGGAGCACGCUGUCUCUAAGACAGAGUACUGAAAUAAGCUUUGGCUACUGCACUUUCACCCCAAAAGCUGUAUAUAGAAACCCAGUGUGGCAGGACAGACUGCUGCAGCCUGGUGGGGAAACAGAGGGUGGAUGUUUGGGCUCUCACACAUUCUGUCUCUAUAUGCACGGAUACAUAUUACGUGCUGCUGAAGUGAUCUGCAGUUACACACAGCAGACAGGAUGAGAACGUGCCAUGGGGUUUGUGUGGUCACUGAAAAUGCUCUCAUUUCAGAAUGCUGCUGGAAAGCUUGUAGGGCAAAUGCAUAUGGAUGACCCUGGUGUCUGGAAAAAUGCACUGUGAAAAGGCUGUAUUGGACCGGAGGUGAUUCUGAGCUGCAGACAGUCCCUGACAGCCUUUGUAAAGUGAUAUGAAGCAAAAUACCUUCAAGAGCAAGGAAAUCAUUCUGUGCUGAUUAAUGCCGGUGUUGCUGGUAUUGAUGGUUCAGCUGCCUGUACAAAACAAAUGUGGGUAAUCAGUUCAUCUUGAAAUAACUUGUACGGCUGAAUAGAGGAAGUUGUUGCCUAAUCUAUUUCAUACUAAUUGCUCCACGCCACAGAUUCUGGGCCUGAUUCAAUAUGAAUUGACACAAAGGAAAGUACUCCACUCACUGCAACUGCGAUAGUCUUCAGAUCAGGGCUUCUUUUGAAAGGGAGCAAACACAGCAUGGUAAAUUAGUGUUCAUCUGCAUCUUCACUAUCUGAUUUUUGAGAAAAAGACUGACUUGACUUUUUGUACACAGCCAAAUGAGUCACAGCACUUGCAUGCUGGAUUGCAGGCCAACAAAGCCAACCUGAGCGCAUCAAAGCUUUAGCAGGGGCUGGGACUCUGUUGGCUGCUGUCUGCCACAGACCACCGUGGUUGGGUGUCCAAUGCAGAGUGCUAACUACGGUCUUGCAGCAUGGAGCCAUUUACUGCCCCCAAAACAUUUGCUGCUUACGAGGCGUUCGUCAAAAAAAUCACACUGGGACCAUACCUGUGGCUUGAGCUAUUUAAACGUCUUUAAAAAUCUGUCCCUUGAGAGGAUUUAACUCAGCAGGAUUUAGACUGCAAAGGCUCACAGCAUCAAAGGGACCAAAGCGUCAAUCCAUCUCUUCACGCCUAAAGACAUAAUAGUAUCAUACUCCCCCCAAGAGGGGGUACUGUAGAGAAAUUUCCAAGCUCUCAGCACCCAAACUAGCUAGCUCUGGAAGCAGAUGGAGUAUAAUUAUAGCAGUGUCGAGCUGCACCUGAACUAAUUAGCUCUGCUGAGAAACAGGGAUUGAAUUUAAUAAUGCAUGUUCUGCCAUAACAAAAAGGCUAGACUGCCUUUGAGACCCAUGCAAGUGUCUCUGCAUGGCGCUGUGCUGAACUCUGUGGAUGUACUCUGAAAGUCAGCUUGGAGCUUUUUUGCCAUAAUCUGCUGCACAAUGUAGAUAUCACCUUGUCCCAGCAUUCAGGUACCAUUGGCAUAAUUACUCCUCAGCUGUCAUUUACCUCCUGACUAUUAGUUUAGCAUGCUAAGUUCUGCAUAUGCUCAAGAUUUUGCAGUCCAAUCUCACCAAAAUAUCAAGAUCUACCUCAAGGACUGCUGUGGCCUAUUUCUAAAGCCUUGAAGGAUUCAAAAUGAGACCCUCUUUGCAAUGGGCCUGAUGUUACUGGCAUGGUCAAAACAUUAAGCACAUGGUAGUGGGGAGAGAGAAGUAGAAGACACAGGUUCAGAUCCCUGCUCUGGAGCAGUGAUAUCCAUUAGAUAUGAACAUAAGCUCCCAUCUUAGAUGUGUUUCGUAAUAGCUAUCACUAAAGCCAGUCUCUCUGGCUCCAGCCCUCUGCAUAUCAUAUUAUUUCUACAAAUUAUUUCCACCCCACAGGGAACUGGGAGCUGGGCUCAGGCUCCAGACAUGAGUCAGUCAGAAGGAACAACUUGACCCCAUCUCCCAAGCCAUCAGGGAUGACUUAACUCCAAGGCUCUCACUUCUGGUCUACCACUGUUACUCUUUUCAAAGGGAUCUGUAUCACGCAAGUGACUGAUGCUAUUAAGGUGCUUAAUGGCUGUAAGGGUACAGAGACUAUGCCUCCCUGGACACGCAUAAGCACUGUCCACUUCUGCUGAAAUCUACUUUAUGGUAGUUUGAUCCAUGGCCUGCACAGCAGCUUUUGCUGACUCUUCACCUUGGUGACUAUCUAUGGAAAACUUGUGUAAGUACUGUACAAGGGAGGACUAAGACUAUGAGAGAGCUGUUGCAUUACUUCAUUCUGUGAAGCUUAAUUAUGACCUAGGAAGUGAAAAAUGAAAUAAUUCAAAUCUUGAAUUACUUAAUGUCUUUCAAAAAUUUCAAGCGUGGUUCACAGCAUUUGAUGAUUUUUAAUGUAGCUCCUUUAGACAAAUUUAAUGCAUCUGUGUUAUAUACAACAAAUUACAACUGCUGAAUCAAGUAUGCACGCACCUCCAGACCUAAGUGUUCUAAUUAUUUCUUCAACUUUAUAACACACAAGCUUCAAUGUUUUCAGCCAAGGGAGAUUUUUGGUAGCUUUUACUGCUGCAUCUUACUGGACCCAUUUGUUGCAGAGGUAGGUAGCUCUCUCAUCAGAAACUCAGAAUACUUUGAUCUUACUGCAGAAUCAUUUUUUUCCUGCCAUUCCACUAAUAGGAUCUGAAAUAAAAUCUCCUAACUAGAAAAAGACAUGAUUUACAAGGUUUGUAAUAGUUGUGUGGAAUUCAAUUGCCUGUGGAGGAAACACAGGAAUCAUUACUUCCCUUCCUCUUCCUGCAUUUACUCUGCAACAUAUUUGGCUCAAAUAAUCCAUUUCUAAAAAUAUCUGUGUGGUAAGCGGAUGAGGGGAGACUUUAUAUACAAUAUUGCAUUUGUAAUAAGAGAAAGGGAGAGAUGUGAAGAACUGAAGAAGAAUUCCCAAGUCAGAGAUCUUCCCUCGCACUUCUCUUGGUAUGGCUCAGUGACAGACUACAUCUAUUACAGGAGGAAAAUAGAAUUGCAACUUCUCCCUAAAUAAUUAAAUGAAUACUUAACGUGCAAGUUUAAAACUUACAGUAUAUUAUAAAACAAUUAUAUUUCCUCUGCAUGGAAAGGCAAACUGCCAUUCAGCUUCCUUUGUCAUCUGUAUGCGUGAGUCUGGAGCAAUUAGAAUGAAUAUAUUGCAGGUGCAGUAUCUCAGGAAAUUGCAAGAAGCUGUGCUGCAGUUUUGUACCAUAGAGGGGUGUCUCUUAACUCCUGGAAGUGCUGAAAACUGGAGAGAUGUGAGCACCUGAAGUGUGAUUUUAUAAGCAUAACGAACACCAAUAGAUGUCUAUAUAAUAGAUGUGAUAUAAAUGCUGUAUUUCCUCACAGAUUGUACUGUUGCUCAUUUUAUUUAACUGGAGAAUGCAAACUAUUAAAUUUUAGAUUGUGGAUUACUGUCCAUUUUUGCCCAGUUUAUCUUUCAAAUUGUAAACAGAAUUUUUUUGAAUGGCAACAGAAUGUGGUAGCCUUGAUGUUAUCUCAAGAUAUCAUCCUUUCCCAGUGGUACAUAUUUUUAUGUUUUCUUUAAGACAUACUACUUGGGAAUUCCUUGGCCCUGGACUUUUUUGCUAUCAUUUUAUUGUAUCUAACUGUUCAUGUAAAAUUGGUCCUUGUACCUGACUCCAAGAUUCAUUUUAAUUUUUAAGAGCAAAUUCUUCAUAAAUUCAGGUGAGCAUGCUAAGAUAAAUGCUUCCUAACGCCAGAUCUCAAAGUGGCAUAUGUGGUGAUUUUUCUUUUUUUGGUAGGGUGAUACCAAUCCACAUCUGCUGAGGAUUUGACCCUUAGAGCUAUCUGACCUGAUAAUCAUUUCUGCUGAUGAUUCAUUUGCAAGAGCAGAACAGAGGGACCUCAAAGACCAUGGCAAUUAUUCAUACAUGGUUUGAUGCCCUUUUAUUUCACCACAGAGGUUUAAAGGAGCUACUGUGGUAAUAAGAUUCAGGCCCACCAUUUUACCUGUGUGAAAUCACUAGUUUGAUGAAUGAUACUGAUAUGGAACAUUUCCUUCCUUGCAGAUAUGAAGGAAAAAAUUCAUCCUGGGGACUUCAACACAAAACUCAGUGCAAUUAAAUGUUUGUACUUGAACUUCUGAUAGCCACUAUGGAAUUCCAGAUAGCUUGCACACAUGGAAGGACAGAUGAGCACAUCCACCUACCUUGAUUUUGGGAAGUGAUAAAGGAGGAGGAAUUGCAAAUAUUCGAUCUGAAAAAGAGUCUCUGGCAGAAUUGAGUUUUCAGGUUGUCACUGUGACAGGUUUCUUGAGGCUCAUGCUGUCUUAUUUUUAAUGGCUAAAAUAUAAAAGAGGGGAAAAUACUGACGCUCAGCCAUUCCAGACGAGACUGGAACACAAGCUCAUUUGAAUAACCACGCUAUGGAUCUGUCAUGCUGAGCUGAGACAUGCCUCAGCAACCUCCAGAAGACUCCACAUCAAGCCCUCGGAUAAGGAGCGGGACAAAAGAGUGCCUGCAGCCUGCGCGUGCCUUGGAUCUGCUUGCUGAAAUGCGUCUGCUCAGGAGAGAGCUGAGCACAGCCUUGCAAAGGAAUUUAAUUCGCUGCAUUACACAGAAACAUAUGGCUGAAAGCCUACAGGAAAAUUGCAGAGGAGGAAUUUUGCAGCAAUAAUGUAAACCUUAUUCUGCAUGAAGUAAAAUCAAUAUUCAUUCUCGAAUCACCUUCCUAGGGUCUGGAAGCCAUGCACUGUUCAUUUUCACUAAGUUCAUGGUAUUUGCUUCCAUUCCAUUCCUGCAAUAAGGGCUAUGAAGGUGGUGGGCAAGACAUAUGAGGAGAGGCUGAGGUCCCUUGGUUUGCUCAGCCCAGAGCAGAGGAGCUGAGGGGAGGCCUGGUGGCAGCUGCAGCUCCUCACAGGGA